rnacentral:rRNA from 1 species
AUACGGAGGGUGCAAGCGUUACUCGGAAUCACUGGGCGUAAAGCGCGCGCAGGCGGUCUUUUAAGUUGGAUGUGAAAGCCUACGGCUCAACCGUAGAACUGCAUCCAAAACUAUUAGACUAGAGUGUGCGAGAGGAAGAUGGAAUUAGUUGUGUAGGGGUAAAAUCCGUAGAGAUAACUAGGAAUACCAAAAGCGAAGGCAAUCUUCUGGAACACUACUGACGCUGAGGCGCGAAAGCGUGGGGAGCAAACAGGAUUAGAAACCCUUGUAGUCC